UACGUAGGGUGCGAGCGUUAAUCGGAAUUACUGGGCGUAAAGCGUGCGCAGGCGGUUUUGUAAGCCAGAUGUGAAAUCCCCGGGCUUAACCUGGGAAUGGCAUUUGGGACUGCAAGGCUGGAGUGCGGCAGAGGAGACUGGAAUUCCUGGUGUAGUAGUGAAAUGCGUAGAUAUCAGGAGGAACACCAGUGGCGAAGGCGACUUCCUGGCCUGUUCUUGACGCUGAGGCGCGAAAGCUGGGGGAGCAAACGGG
rnacentral:rRNA from 1 species